GAUGAACGCUGGCGGCGUGCCUAAUACAUGCAAGUCGAGCGAACAGACGAGGAGCUUGCUCCUCUGACGUUAGCGGCGGACGGGUGAGUAACACGUGGAUAACCUACCUAUAAGACUGGGAUAACUUCGGGAAACCGGAGCUAAUACCGGAUAAUAUAUUGAACCGCAUGGUUCAAUAGUGAAAGACGGUUUUGCUGUCACUUAUAGAUGGAUCCGCGCCGCAUUAGCUAGUUGGUAAGGUAACGGCUUACCAAGGCAACGAUGCGUAGCCGACCUGAGAGGGUGAUCGGCCACACUGGAACUGAGACACGGUCCAGACUCCUACGGGAGGCAGCAGUAGGGAAUCUUCCGCAAUGGGCGAAAGCCUGACGGAGCAACGCCGCGUGAAUGAUGAAGGUCUUCGGAUCGUAAAACUCUGUUAUUAGGGAAGAACAAAUGUGUAAGUAACUAUGCACGUCUUGACGGUAUCUAAUCAGAAAGCCACGGCUAACUACGUG
rnacentral:rRNA from 1 species